AUACGGAGGAUCUGAGCGUUAUCCGGAUUUAUUGGGUUUAAAGGGUGCGCAGGCGGCCAUUUAAGUCAGCGGUUAAAUCGAGGGGCUCAACCCCAUUCUGCCGUUGAUACUGGGUGGCUUGAUUGCGGUCGAGGUUGGCGGAAUUCGUUGUGUAGCGGUGAAAUGCAUAGAUAUGACGAAGAACACCGAUUGCGUAGGCAGCUGACCAGACCGCAAAUGACGCUCAUGCACGAAAGUGCGGGGAUCGAACAGGCGUAGAUACCCUGGUAGUCCGCACAGUAAACGAUGAAUACUUGUUUUCGGCGAUAUAAUGUCGGAGGCAAAGCGAAAGCGAUAAGUAUUCCACCUGGGGAGUACGCCGGCAACGGUGAAACUCAAAGGAAUUGACGGGG
rnacentral:rRNA from 1 species